rnacentral:rRNA from 1 species
AUACGGAGGGAGCGAGCGUUAAUCGGAAUUACUGGGCGUAAAGCGCGCGUAGGCGGCUUUGUCAGUCGGAUGUGAAAGCCCUGGGCUUAACCUGGGAAUGGCAUUCGAUACUGCAGAGCUAGAGUAUGGUAGAGGGAAGUGGAAUUUCCGGUGUAGCGGUGAAAUGCGUAGAUAUCGGAAGGAACACCAGUGGCGAAGGCGACUUCCUGGGCCAAUACUGACGCUGAGGUGCGAAAGCGUGGGGAGCAAACAGGAUUAGAUACCCCGGUAGUCC